AUGUUAAUAUUCAUCAUUAUAAUUAAACAUUAUGUGGCAACUCCGCCAACAGAGUACUUUCUUCUUGAUGCACGAGUCUCCAAGCAAGUUAUCUUUGGGGAGAGGAAAGAGCCCUAGCUCUCUAAUUUACUGUUACCAUUUCCAGUUGCAGCAACAACACCAUAAGCCAAAUACAACGAGAUAAGGACUUCACCAACAACACCAUAAGGAAAAUACAACGAGAAGCUUCCAUCUUCCUUAUGGACAAAAGCAUGCUGCUGAAACUUGUGUUCAAUACAGCUUCUCUGUUGCAAGGAUACUAUACAGUUAUAAGCUUAGAAUCCCAAAGAUUUGUUCGGCGAAAGGCUUCAGAUUUUGAAAAGGUAUGGUCAAGUGAGUGGGUAUCUAAUAUUAAAAUCCCACAUCAUCUAAUGGAUAAAAGAAAUUAGGAUUUCAUAUAUAAAAUGAAAUGACAUCUAGCUAUUGCAUUCACGGAGCCGUGUGAUGAUGACAUAGCGAACUAUUCUUUCGCCUUUUACUAAAGAAUACCGUGUCAGUGUCACAAUUAGCGGCAUACGCUAGUUUUUGGAAGAGUCCUCUAUAUUGAGGGCUCUGCAAUU